GACGGACCGUCCAAACGUUAUUCGGAAUCACUGGGCUUAAAGGGUGCGUAGGCGGUCCGGGAAGUCGGGUGUGAAAGCCCUCAGCUCAACUGAGGAACUGCGCCCGAAACUGCCGGGCUCGAGGGAGACAGAGGUGAGCGGAACUUAGGGUGGAGCGGUGAAAUGCGUUGAGAUCCUAAGGAACACCAGUAGCGAAAGCGGCUCACUGGGUCUCUGCUGACGCUGAUGCACGAAAGCUAGGGGAG
rnacentral:rRNA from 1 species